rnacentral:misc_RNA from 1 species
UCUCCGUUGGUGAACCAGCGGAGGGAUCAUUACAGGACUCGCAAGACUCCUUCACCCUGUGAACCUCACUACAAGCACGUUGCUUCGGCGGGUGUCCCGGCGGGGGUUUUCCCUCGCCGGGGCGCACAGCCCGCCGGCAGCCUACCAUACUCUGUCUCUUUGCUUUGGCAUCUCGAGAAAAAACAAACAAGUUAAAACUUUCAACAACGGAUCUCUUGGUUCUG